CCUACGGGUGGCUGCAGUCGAGAAUCUUCCGCAAUGGACGAAAGUCUGACGGAGCGACGCCGCGUGAUGGAUGAAGUCCCUCUGGGACGUAAACAUCUUUUACCGGGGAGAAAGUUUUGAUAGUACCCGGGGAAUAAGGGGUUGCUAAACUCGUGCCAGCAGCAGCGGUAAUACGAGUGCCCCAAGCGUUAUCCGGAAUUAUUGGGCGUAAAGGGUGUGUAGGUGGCGAUGCUAGUCUUCUGUCAAAUUCUUCGGCUCAACCGGGGUUCUGCAGAGGAAACGGCAUUGCUAGAGGAUGUUAGGGGCCAAGGGAACUCAUGGAGUAGGGGUGAAAUCCGUUGAUAUCAUGGGGAACACCAAAAGCGAAGGCACUUGGCUGGGGCAUUCCUGACACUGAAACACGAAAGCGUGGGUAGCGAACGGGAUUAGAUACCCCAGUA
rnacentral:rRNA from 1 species